UUAUGUGAUCGUCUCUCGCAUAUCAAUAAGCGGAGGAAAAGAAACUAACAAGGAUUCCCCUAGUAACGGCGAGUGAAGCGGGAAGAGCUCAAAUUUGAAAUCUUAAAGGGUUUCCCUUUACGAAUUGUAGUUUAAAGAAGUGUUUUCUGUUGAGGUUUUGGUAAAAGUUCUUUGGAAUAGGACAUCAUAGAGGGUGAGAAUCCCGUAUUUGACCUUUACUUUCAACUUUGUGAUACACUUUCAAAGAGUCGGAUUGUUCGGGAAUGCAGUCCAAAAUGGGUGGUAAAUUUCAUCUAAAGCUAAAUAUUGGCGAGAGACCGAUAGCGAACAAGUACCGUGAGGGAAAGAUGAAAAGAACUUUGAAAAGAGAGUUAAACAGUACGUGAAAUUGUCAAAAGGGAAGCGUUUGACACCAGUGUUGUUUUUCUGAAAAUCAAUUAAAGAACUGUUUAUGCUAAGUUGUUUAGACUUUAUCAGCUAACUGUUUAGUUUUGAGCUUCUCUUUAAUGCACUUUUCAGUUAACAAGUCAACAUCAAUUUCUUUUGCUGUAAAAAAGCUUGAGGAAGGUGGCUUGAGAUUCGUCUUAAGUGUUUAUAGCCUCUUGCCUAUGCAGUCGGAGAGAUUGAGGUCUGCAGCGUAGAUCCUUCGGGGCUAAAUGCAUUUGUGCUAAGUUAUAGCAUUUUAUAGACAACUUGUUGACUAUGAUUUGUCUUGUAGCUUACUCGCUUAUGUUAUUUUACCUACGCUUAGGAUGUUGAUCUGUAGUGCGUGCGC
rnacentral:rRNA from 1 species